rnacentral:lncRNA from 1 species
AGGAGCUGGAACCCUGUGUAAGGCCCAGGUGAAGGAAUUACCUCUGCUAAUGAAUAGUCUUUUCCAAAGAAAACACAAAGAUUUCUACCAAGGACCCCUUUGCAGAGAAUGAGGUGGGACACAAAAUAACACAUGGCAUCGGUGGCAUGGCAUUCAUGUCCUUCUCCUAGGAAAACAAUUUAUCUUGGAUCAAAUACAAAUUAGGCCAACUUGUAUCCAGUGUUUAUCUGUUGCAGAGGACUUCUGUUUACAAGCUAAGAGGGCCACAAGAACAUCUGGGCCUUGUCAUCUAAAUUGCAAAGGCUGUUCUGGUCACCACUGAAUAAUUUCCAUGCAAGGACUGUAUUGAGGAAGACAGCAGUAGCUCUGCUCCAUGAGCUGUCCAGAUAGCAAAGGAAGGAUCAUUAGUGAAAAUAUUUGUGAAGAAAACCAGUUAGUAACCUAAUGAGGAAAAGCUAUUUCAGUGUUAAAUGCCUACGGUAUCUUUACUUGCAUGUACAUACACUGUGUGCAGUGAUAGCAUUUCAAAUGUCUGU